AAAUAAUUUUCACUCACAGUUUACUUACUAAACUUAACUAAAAUUAAUAAAUCUCAUGAAUUACCUGUAAUUCGAAGAAACUCUUGUCUCAACAUUGUAAGGACUCCUAAAUGUUAAAAUUCCUUAAUACCUUUGGGAAACAGAGAUCGUCGCGCAGUGAAUAAGAUCUUACAAUUUACGAUUAAAAAUACGAUACGACAAUCAUCUGAGGUAUUGAUAAUCAAUUAAAAAAGGAGAAGCAGAAUAGAGCCGUUACUUUGGUGCUUGUGAUGAAAAUAUACCAU